UGGGGAAUAUUGCACAAUGGGCGCAAGCCUGAUGCAGCAACGCCGCGUGAACGAUGAAGGUCUUCGGAUCGUAAAGCUCUGUUGCAGGGGAAGAUAAUGACGGUACCCUGUGAGGAAGCCCCGGCUAACUACGUGCCAGCAGCCGCGGUAAUACGUAGGGGGCUAGCGUUAUCCGGAUUUACUGGGCGUAAAGGGUGCGUAGGUGGUCUUUCAAGUCGGUGGUUAAAGGCUACGGCUCAACCGUAGUUAGCCUCCGAUACUGGAAGACUUGAGUGCAGGAGAGGAAAGUGGAAUUCCCAGUGUAGCGGUGAAAUGCGUAGAUAUUGGGAGGGACAGCAGUAGCGAAGGCGGCUUUCAGGACUGCAACUGACACUGAGGCACGAAAGCGUGGGUAGCAAACAGG
rnacentral:rRNA from 1 species